CGUGAGGGAAAGGUGAAAAGAACCCCGGGAGGGGAGUGAAAUAGAACCUGAAACCUUAUGCCUACAAGCAGAUAGAGUCUUAAGAGAGAUGAUAUCGUACUUUUUGUAGAACGGGCCAGCGAGUUAUGGUGUGCGGCAAGGUUAAGUAAUGAAGUUACGGAGCCGUAGGGAAACCGAGUCUGAAUAGGGCGAGAUAGUCGUAUGCCAUAGACCCGAAACCAGGUGAUCUAUCCAUGAGCAGGUUGAAGUGAAAGUAAAAUUUCAUGGAGGACCGAACCGGGUAGCGUUUAAAAGCUAUCGGAUGACUUGUGGAUAGGGGUGAAAAGCCAAUCGAACUUGGAGAUAGCUGGUUCUCCUCGAAAUAGCUUUAGGGCUAGCCUCAAUUUAGUUUACAGGGGGUAGAGCACUGAAUACCGUAGGGGUGUUAGACAUUACCGAAAGUUAUCAAACUGCGAAUACCUGAUAAAUGAUGAUUGGGAGUCAGACUAUGUGGGAUAAGCUUCAUAGUCAAAAGGGAAAGAGCCCAGACCACCAGCUAAGGUCCCUAAAUAUAGAUUAAGUGGUAAAGGAUGUUUUACUACUCAGACAACCAGGAUGUUGGCUUAGAAGCAGCCAUACAUUUAAAGAGUGCGUAAUAGCUCACUGGUCAAGUGGUAGAGCGCCGAAAAUGAACGGGGCUAAAAUCUAAUACCGAAGCUGUGGACUAAUUAAAUUAGUGGUAGAGGAGCAUUGUGUAAGGGGUGAAGCUAAGUUGGAAGACGAAGUGGACUUUACAGAAGAGAGAAUGCUGGCAUGAGUAGCGAAAAGGAGGGUGAGAAUCCCUCCCGUCGAAAGCCUAAGGAUUCCUGAGGAAGGCUCGUCCUCUCAGGGUAAGUCGGGACCUAAGCCCAGGCUGAAAAGCGUAAGCGAUGGACAACAGGUUGAGAUUCCUGUACUAUCUUUGAAUGUUUGAGAGAAGUACUGACGCAGGAGGAUAUGUUGAGCGUGUGAAUGGUAGAGCACGUCUAAGCAAGUAGAUAGAGAAUAGAGGCAAAUCCCUAUUCUUAAUAUCGAGAUGUGAUGGGGAGCGAAAAAUAAGUAGUGAAGCAACAAAUUCCAAACUGCCAAGAAAAGGUACUAUUGAGUGAGAAGAUACCCGUACCAAAACCGACACAGGUAGGCAAGGAGAGAAUCCUAAGACGCGCGGAAGAACCUUUGUUAAGGAACUCGGCAAAAUGACCCCGUAACUUCGGGAGAAGGGGUACCAUUAGAUGUGAUAUACAUACGUAUGGAGCAUAGAGUGGUCGCAGAGAAUAGGCCCAAGCAACUGUUUACCAAAAACACAAGUCUCUGCUAAAUCGAAAGAUGAAGUAUAGGGGCUGACACCUGCCCGGUGCUGGAAGGUUAAGGGGAAAUGUUAGAGCAAUCGAAGCAUAGAACUUAAGCCCCAGUAAACGGCGGCCGUAACUAUAACGGUCCUAAGGUAGCGAAAUUCCUUGUCGGGUAAGUUCCGACCCGCACGAAAGGUGUAAUGAUUUGGGCACUGUCUCAACAAAGGAUCCGGUGAAAUUGUAGUAGUCGUGAAGAUGCGACUUACCCACGAUAGGACGGAAAGACCCCGUGGAGCUUUACUGUAGGCUGGCAUUGGAAUUUGGUAUUAAAUGUACAGGAUAGGUGGGAGACUGAGAAACGAGAGCGCCAGUUUUCGUGGAGUCAAUGUUGGGAUACCACUCUUUUGAUACUAAAUUUCUAACUUGAUACUCUGAAGCGAGUAUAAGGACACUGUCAGUUGGGCAGUUUGACUGGGGCGGUCGCCUCCUAAAGAGUAACGGAGGCGUUCAAAGGUUCCCUCAGAAUGGAAGGAAAUCAUUCAAAGAGUGCAAAGGCAAAAGGGAGCUUAACUGCGACACCAACAAGUGGAGCAGAUAGGAAACUAGGACUUAGUGAUCCGGUGGUACCGAGUGGAAGGGCCAUCGCUCAACGGAUAAAAGCUACCCCGGGGAUAACAGGCU
rnacentral:rRNA from 1 species